UGGGCAUUAUGAUGAUUUGUUUACCGUCUGAUUUCUAUAUGACGAAUCAAUUACCUCCUACUCAUUCUGA